UGGGGUAUCGCCAAGCGGUAAGGCACCGGUUUUUGAUACCGGCAUUCCCUGGUUCGAAUCCAGGUACCCCAACCA
rnacentral:tRNA from 4 species